UCCGCCUUUGGAUGCCCGGGUGACAGGGAGCCAGUGGCCUUCAGCCAUGUGAAAGUGGCCAUCUUGGCUGGUCAGCGUACUAUUCUUCGCACCGCCUUAUUCAUACCCACUCUGUGCGCUGCUGCCGACUGGAAAUCCUCGGGGGGCGGGGGCACCUAAUUGCUAGUAAUUUCUUGGUUAGAGCCUCUGGUGAAAAUGGCGGAAAAGCAGAAUGAGAGUUCUGCCAUCUAUUUAAACGAUUGCUGUCCUCCUCGCACCCCCAGCGCUCAAGUUUCUGAAAGAGGCCCUUCCCUUUGUUGACCCUUCGUCUGCGGCCUUUUCUCCAUUCAAGAAAGAAGCCUCUCACAAGGCUGGCCUUGCACUUGCUGACUUUUCCUAUGUGUUUGAGGGGGAAACACAGAAGAUGUUUAGGUGUCAUUUCAAUUUUCUGUUCAAAAAACUGUUGAAUUCAUUUUUCUUGGGGAGAGGCCCUAUUUAGCCCUUAUAUCUGAUUAAGGAGAUCUCUUGACAAGGUGAAAUGGUCCGUUUCGUGAAGCUUUCAGUUUAAAAUGUCCACCUACGUUCGUCCCAGUUUUGCCCAUUAAAGGAAUUGUAGGGAGAGAAGAAAAAGAAAACAAACUUGAGCCAACAAGGAGUAGGGAGUCAGGAACCGAUUUCAUGGAGUCCCCGUUUGGAAAGAGCCCACAAGUGGGAAGGAGAUCGGGUGUCACUUCCUCUCCUGUAGGGGCUGCGGUCUCGGCGAAGGUUUAGCAGGGACUGCUGUCAUGGUGGCCCUGAGCGCAUUAACAUCGGGUUUAAUGAUGUUAUUAGGCAACAGCCUGCUGCUAGGAUAGGAUGCACGUUACCCUGGAGACAUGAAUGCGAGAGACCCCAGUAGCAGCCUCAUGCUGGUUAUCCUCAGAGAAUUAGGUAAAUUCUGAAGAACAACCCUCUCAGCGGUAUGCGGAAGGAAAGUCUAGCUGUGGAGGACGUUGCUUCACUGGACCAAGUUGGCACCAUCGUUGCGCUCUUCCCAGUAAAGUAGUGAGGGAUGGAAGAAUGAAGAAGAUACAAUGAAGAGGACACUGAAGGAGACAAUAUAAUGACGUCAAUAUAAUUUAUUGUGACAGGCACUGUUCUAAUAUUUGUACUUCACAACAAUUCUAAUGAGAGGUACUAUUUCUUUUCCUGUUUUACAAAUGAAGAAACUAACAUGUAAUUUGCCCAGGUCACACAUCACAUCAGUCGUGGAGCUGGGACUUGAGCCUGGGUCUGAGCUCUAAAUGCGUGCUCCGUGUUACAAGUCAAACAAUAAAUACAUCCCCUGAGGUAAUUAAUGAUGAAAUUUGGUUUGUAUUCUUUCAUACUUUUUCUAUGAACAUGCAUACAUAUUUUACCUGAAAUGUGGAUUUUUCUUUAAACAAUUUUCAUGGCCAUUUCUCCAGGACACUAU